UACGUAGGGUGCAAGCGUUAAUCGGAAUUACUGGGCGUAAAGCGUGCGCAGGCGGCUUUGCAAGACAGAUGUGAAAUCCCCGGGCUUAACCUGGGAACUGCCUUUGUGACUGCACGGCUAGAGUGUGUCAGAGGGGGGUAGAAUUCCACGUGUAGCAGUGAAAUGCGUAGAUAUGUGGAGGAAUACCGAUGGCGAAGGCAGCCCCCCUGGGAUAACACUGACGCUCAUGCACGAAAGCGUGGGGAGCAAACAGG
rnacentral:rRNA from 1 species